rnacentral:misc_RNA from 1 species
GAUGAAGAACGCAGCGAAAUGCGAUAAGUAGUGUGAAUUGCAGAAUUCAGUGAAUCAUCGAAUCUUUGAACGCACAUUGCGCCCCUUGGUAUCCCGAGGGGCAUGCCUGUUCGAGCGUCAUUUCACCACUCAAGCCUGGCUUGGUGUUGGGCGGCGUCCCCUUUGGGGACGCGCCUCGAAACGCUCGGCGGCGUGGCACCGGCUUUAAGCGUAGCAGAAUCUUUCGCUUUGGAAGUCGGGGCCCCGUCUGCCGGAAGACCUACUCGCAAGGUUGACCUCGGAUCAGGCAGGGAUACCCGCUGAACUUAAGCAUAUCAAUAAGCGGAGGA